rnacentral:rRNA from 1 species
UACGGGGGGGGCAAGCGUUGUUCGGAAUUACUGGGCGUAAAGGGCGCGUAGGUGGCCAACUAAGUCAGACGUGAAAUCCCUCGGCUUAACCGGGGAACUGCGUCUGAUACUGGAUGGCUUGAGUUUGGGAGAGGGACGCGGAAUUCCAGGUGUAGCGGUGAAAUGCGUAGAUAUUGGGAGGAACACCAGUGGCGAAGGCGGCUCACUGGACCGGAACUGACGCUGAUGCGCGAAAGCGUGGGGAGCAAACGGG